GACGAACGCUGGCGGCGUGCUUAACACAUGCAAGUCGAACGCUGAAGCUCAGCUUUUGUUGGGUGGAUGAGUGGCGAACGGGUGAGUAACACGUGAGUAACCUGCCCCCUUCUUUGGGAUAACGCCCGGAAACGGGUGCUAAUACUGGAUAUUCACUGGUCUUCGCAUGGGGGUUGGUGGAAAGGGUUUUUCUGGUGGGGGAUGGGCUCGCGGCCUAUCAGCUUGUUGGUGGGGUGAUGGCCUACCAAGGCUUUGACGGGUAGCCGGCCUGAGAGGGUGACCGGUCACAUUGGGGCUGGGAUACGGCCCAGACUCCUACGGGAGGCAGCAGUGGGGAAGAUUGCACAAUGGGCGCAAGCCUGAAGCAGCGACGCCGCGUGAGGGAUGGAGGCCUUCGGGUUGUGAACCUCUUUCGCUCAUGGUCAAGCCGCAACAAUGGUUGUGGGGAGGGUAGUGGGUAAAGAAGCGCCGGCUAACUACGU
rnacentral:rRNA from 1 species